rnacentral:lncRNA from 1 species
UAUUUCCCUACUUUUUAUCAACAGCUAUGCGAUAUAAUUAUUUUCUGAGUCAGAGGUUAUCUUUAAAGAAACGGAAAUAAUGGGACGGGUGACGUCAUCGAUCGCAGCAAAGUUCGCGUUCUUCCGACCGACCCCGCCAUCGUACACUGUGGUGGCAGACGAGUCGUGUGGUGGAGCUGUUUGCAUAACAGAGGUUCCACGGAGGGAUGACGUUGAAGUUUUGAAUCGGGGCGGUGCACGUCACCCAACCCAACGCCACCGAUACACUGCUGUACUCCCACGGAAACGCUGCCGAUUUGGGGCAGAUGUAUGAAUUAUUGUCGAGCUCAGCCUUCACCUUCGCAUAAAUCUCAUGGGGUAAUUUUGAAUUUUCAGCUGCUAAUUUUGCUAAUUGGUGGAUGGUUAUGAUCUGAUUUGGUUAAUUAAAAACUUGGUAGGAUUUGGUUGUUUAAUUUGAUGGGAUGCCAGCGAUGAAAUAAUAGUUUUUUCUUUUGCUUGAUCUGCUACAACUUUGCCCUUUAUAAUUCUCUUGAGGUCUUUUUCUUUGGAUGAUUUAUAACGGACUAAUGGCGGUUUGCAUCAUGUAUUGAUCAAUGAGGCAAUUAAACUCUUAACCAGAAAAUUCUAGAAUUUAAAAGAGAAUAUAAUUUAAUAUGGACAGAGAGGGUAAAAACGAGAUAGGUUGAUGGCGUAUAUUUUGUGAAUAUAGUUUUAACAUCGAUGCAUUUGACGUUGAAUGUCUAUGUAAAACUUACUGAAAAUAACAAUCUACCUAGUAUGCCAUUAUGGAAUCUGUGUGAAACCUAAUUACUCGGCUUUGAAAUGGCAAAUAAAGAGUUUUGUACAUUCUUGGAUUCCUCUUCAUCAUCUAGCUAAUAACUACAAUAAAUUUGGUAAUUGUUAUGAAAAUGAAAAAAUUUUCCCCAAUAACUCGUGAACAGUGUUUGACUGUAUACUAUUGCUUGCUGAUUUCCCUUUUUUUUCCUG